rnacentral:rRNA from 1 species
CACGUAGGGCGCAAGCGUUGUCCGGAAUUAUUGGGCGUAAAGAGCUCGUAGGCGGUCUGUUGCGUCCGCUGUGAAAACUCGGGGCUUAACCCCGAGCCUGCAGUGGAUACGGGCAGACUAGAGGUAGGUAGGGGAGAAUGGAAUUCCGGGUGUAGCGGUGGAAUGCGUAGAGAUCCGGAAGAACACCGGUGGCGAAGGCGGCCUGCUGGGCAGUAGCUGACACUGAGGCGCGACAGCGUGGGGAGCAAACAGG